UACAGAGGUCCCAAGCGUUGUUCGGAUUCAUUGGGCGUAAAGGGUGCGUAGGCGGCGCGGUAAGUCGGGUGUGAAAUCUCGGGGCUUAACUCCGAAACUGCAUUCGAUACUGCCGUGCUUGAGGACUGGAGAGGAGACUGGAAUUUACGGUGUAGCGGUGAAAUGCGUAGAGAUCAUGAGGAAGACCAGUGGCGAAGGCGGGUCUCUGGACAGUUCCUGACGCUGAGGCACGAAGGCCAGGGGAGCAAACGGG
rnacentral:rRNA from 1 species